rnacentral:rRNA from 1 species
UACGGAGGGUGCAAGCGUUAUCCGGAUUCACUGGGUUUAAAGGGUGCGUAGGCGGGUUAUUAAGUCAGUGGUGAAAGCCUUCAGCUCAAUUGAAGAAUUGCCAUUGAUACUGAUGAUCUUGAGUAUGAUUGAGGUGGGCGGAAUGUGUCAUGUAGCGGUGAAAUGCUUAGAUAUGACACAGAACACCGAUUGCGAAGGCAGCUCACUAAGCCAUAACUGACGCUGAUGCACGAAAGCGUGGGGAGCAAACAGG